rnacentral:tRNA from 1 species
GCGGGGGUAACUCAGGGGUAGAGUCUCUGCCUUCCAAGCAGAUGGUCGCGGGUUCGAAUCCCGUCCCCCGCUCCA